UACGUAGGGUGCAAGCGUUGUCCGGAAUUAUUGGCGUAAAGAGCUCGUAGGCGGUCUGUCGCGUCUGCUGUGAAAACUCACAGCUUAACUGUGGGCGUGCGGGCGAUACGGGCAGACUGGAGUACUGCAGGGGAGACUGGAAUUCCUGGUGUAGCGGUGGAAUGCGUAGAUAUCGGGAGGAACACCAGUGGCGAAGGCGGUUACCUGGAGCUUUGCUGACGCUGAUGCGCGAAAGCGUGGGGAGCGAUCCGG
rnacentral:rRNA from 1 species